rnacentral:rRNA from 1 species
CCCUACGGGGCGCAGCAGUAGGGAAUCUUCCACAAUGGACGAAAGUCUGAUGGAGCAACGCCGCGUGAGUGAAGAAGGGUUUCGGCUCGUAAAGCUCUGUUGGUAGGGAAGAAAGAUAGAGGUAGUUACUGGCCUUUAUUUGACGGUAAUUACUUAGAAAGUCACGGCUAACUACGUGCCAGCAGCCGCGGUAAUAAGUAGGUGGCAAGCGUUGUCCGGAUUUAUUGGGCGUAAAGGGAGUGCAGGCGGGU